UAUAUAUAUAUAUAUAUACACACACAUAUGUGUUCAAAGGACAGUGCAAUAGAAACUCAAUAUCUGGCAUCGUUGGUUUUCUUGGCUUUGUCCAUGAUAAACAUGGUAUUUUUAUUGAUACAAUA
rfam:Dipodomys ordii ctg_broad_rename0000616, whole genome shotgun sequence.